rnacentral:rRNA from 1 species
CCUCCGGGUUGCCUCCUUUGUUUCUCUUGCACCAUUUUUUACACCCUUAUUCAGCGCCGCCUCGUGAGUGAAGAAGUAUUUCGGUAUGUAAAGCUCUAUCAGCAGGGAAGAAAAUGACAGUACCUGACCAAGAAGCCCCGGCUAACUACGUGCCAGCAGCCGCGGUAAUACGUAGGGGGCAAGCGUUAUCCGGAUUUACUGGGUGUAAAGGGAGCGUAGACGGUUAUGUAAGUCUGGAGUGAAAGCCCGGGGCCCAACCCCGGGACUGCUUUGGAAACUGUGUAACUGGAGUACAGGAGGGGCAGGCGGAAUUCCUGGUGUAGCGGUGAAAUGCGUAGAUAUCAGGAGGAACACCGGCGGCGAAGGCGGCCUGCUGGACUGAAACUGACGUUGAGGCUCGAAAGCGUGGGGAGCAAACAGGAUUAGAUACCCUUGUAGUC